rnacentral:misc_RNA from 1 species
GCAGCCCUUUUCAAAUAUAGAAGCCAGCAAAGUACCCCUGAUUGUGGAUAGAUCUACUUCAAGUUCUGGCUUAGGCCAAUUAGAUCCCAAGACUGCUCAAGAUAUUUCUCGUGGAAGUCCAAAGUUUUCUGAUGUCGCUAUUGCACAUGAUGCUUCAAAAGGUAAUUCUGCUCGUAAAACAAGACGAGCCAGUAAGGCAACAGCGAAAGAAACUGCUAAAAAGGGAAAUCCUGUUAAAGUAACAUCUUCUGUGAGAUCAGAAAGAGGGGUCAAAACAACCAGUGUUUCCCUGAGCCCAUCUGGUGUUUCUCAACUUGUGC